GAUGAACGCUGGCGGCGUGCCUAAUACAUGCAAGUCGAACGCUUCACUUCGGUGAAGAGUGGCGAACGGGUGAGUAAUACAUAAGUAACCUGGCAUCUACAGGGGGAUAACUGAUGGAAACGUCAGCUAAGACCGCAUAGGUGUAGAGAUCGCAUGAACUCUAUAUGAAAAGUGCUACGGGACUGGUAGAUGAUGGACUUAUGGCGCAUUAGCUGGUUGGUAGGGUAACGGCCUACCAAGGCGACGAUGCGUAGCCGACCUGAGAGGGUGACCGGCCACACUGGGACUGAGACACGGCCCAGACUCCUACGGGAGGCAGCAGUAGGGAAUUUUCGGCAAUGGGGGAAACCCUGACCGAGCAACGCCGCGUGAAGGAAGAAGUAAUUCGUUAUGUAAACUUCUGUCAUAGAGGAAGAACGGUGGAUAUAGGGAAUGAUAUCCAAGUGACGGUACUCUAUAAGAAAGCCACGGCUA
rnacentral:rRNA from 1 species